GGAGAGCGCUGUGGAAGCGGAGUGCUGAGGUGCGAGUGUCCGGCUUACACAGCCUCGUCACCCGGCUCCUCACCGAAUUUUUACACGUACUUACCGGCUUUGUAACCGUUUAUGUUUCAUUCAACCGAUAUUUAAAAAAAAAUGUCGAAAUAAUGAACUGAACUCGAAUGAAAAAGUGGAGACUACAUUUUUGUCACGAAGCUCGCGGGUGCGACGACGGAAAAGGCGGCUUUAAACACGUCGUCGAACCGUUACUCUUCUGAGCCUCUGGCUCAAAAACCUUCCUCGGAGGUGCGGGGCAGUAACCCAUGCUGGGGCACAGGUGCUGAAUGCUCGAUGGAUGUCCAUGGACCCAAGGUCUGCGCAGAUCGAGACUGUCCAGCACUCUUUGGCAUCUCAAGGGUGUUAAAUCAGACAGCUCCCUCUACCCAUAACACACAUUUACACUGCCCAGUGGUGCCGUGUAACCACCACACCCUCACAUGGUUUAGCAUGCCUGCUGAGGCCAGGUCCCGGGGUAUGGCUCUUGGAGCCACAUGUGAGAGAAUUGGAGGAUGGAGAAGGACCAGUGUACCCAUCCUUCCUGAUCAGGAAGCAGCAGCCAGGUUACAAAGGUGCUAUCUCUCUCCAGUGCUACCCACUGUUUAAUUUUUCACUGUCCCACUAUCUCAGGUCAGGUUUUAAGGUACACUGAAUGUAAUUGUACAUGUACCACACUUUGUAUCCAUAUUAACACAGGAUAAAGAGAUCAGCAACUAA